CUUGGUCAUUUAGAGGAAGUAAAAGUCGUAUWCAAGGUUUCCGUAGGUGAACCUGCGGAAGGAUCAUUACAGAAUUUUGAGAAUUGUGCUUAACUGCACUUUUCUUAUCUACACACGUGUUUUUGUUUUAUUCUUAAAACUUGCUUUGGCAGUGGCUGCUUAAUUGCUCUGCUGCCAGAGGACAAACUCAACCUAAAUUUUUUAUUUUAAACUAGUCAACUGAUUAUAUUUAUUAAUAGUCAAAACUUUCAACAACGGAUCUCUUGGUUCUCGCAUCGAUGAAGAACGCAGCGAAAUGCGAUAAGUAAUAUGUAUUGCAGAUAUUCGUGAAUCAUCGAAUCUUUGAACGCACAUUGCGCCCUCUGGUAUUCCGGAGGGCAUGCCUGUUUGAGCGUCAUUUCUCCCUCAAACCCCCGGGUUUGGUGAUGAGCAAUACGCCAGGUUUGCUUGAAAGUUAGGAGGAGUAUUUAUAACAAUGUAUUAGGUCUAACCACUCCAUUGUGCUUAAUAAAAGCUCCAAUCUAUAUUUCAAACUUCGACCUCAAAUCAGGUAGGAUUACCCGCUGAACUUAAGCAUAUCAAUAAGCGGA
rnacentral:rRNA from 1 species